CACUUAGCUCAAUGGUAGAGCAGUUGACUCUUAAUCAAUUGGUUCUGGGUUCAAGUCCCUGAGUGG
rnacentral:tRNA from 1 species